rnacentral:pre_miRNA from 1 species
UUUCUACUCUCUCCGUCUCAUAUUAAGUGACUUUCUAUUACAUGUAGCUAGACGUUUUUUAAGCAUAGAUACAUCAAUAUUUAGACAAAUUUGAGUCACUUGAUAUGAAACGGAGGGAGUAAUAC